GAUGAACGCUGGCGGCGUGCCUAACACAUGCAAGUCGAACGGAGUCCAGCCUUUAAGACCUUCGGGUCAAAGAGGGGAAGACUGAGUGGCGGACGGGUGAGUAACACGUGGGCAACCUGGCUCAUAGAGGGGGAUAACAGAGAGAAAUUUCUGCUAAUACCGCAUAAGCACACACUGCCGCAUGGCAGAUGGUGAAAAGAGAAUCGCUAUGAGAUGGACCCGCGUCUGAUUAGCCAGUUGGCAGGGUAAGAGCCUACCAAAGCGACGAUCAGUAGCCGAUCUGAGAGGAUGAACGGCCACAUUGGGACUGAGACACGGCCCAAACUCCUACGGGAGGCAGCAGUGGGGGAUAUUGCACAAUGGGGGGAACCCUGAUGCAGCGACGCCGCGUGAGUGAAGAAGUAUUUCGGUAUGUAAAGCUCUAUCAGCAGGGAAGAUAAUGACAGUACCUGAAUAAGAAGCCCCGGCUAACUACGUG
rnacentral:rRNA from 1 species